UGACUAAGAUCGAAAAUGAAUCAAAAACAGUAAGAGGGUUGAGAAAUGUAUAAGGAAAGCAUAAUAGUUGAAACUAUACUGCUGAAGAAAAGGAAACUAGGAAAAGACAGGCAGUUGACAGUAGUGAAACGAACUAAAAAUAAGUUUCAAUUAACCGUAAACAAUAUAAUUGGAACCGGAACCGAAACCAAAAAUUACUGAAGCCACAGGACCGAAACCCUUAACAAUAAUUCUACCUAAAUAGGUCGGAACCGGAACCUAUAUUUCGUAUGGGUUCCAACUCCUGCCUCCUGAUAGAAGGCUACGGCAAUGAGAGAGUGAAGGAGAGGAGAGUGAAGGAGAGGAGAGUGAAGGAAAGGAGAGUGAAGGAAAGGAGAGUGAAGGAGAGGAGAGUGAAGGAGAGGAGAGUGAAGGAGAGGAGAGUAAAGGAGUGGAGGGUGAGGGGUCGUAGCUGUUUGCAUAUC